CUCGAGGCUAAUUCCUUAACCGAAGGGAAAGAAGGGAAGAGCGCCGGGUAGAGCUCGGUCAGUGCUCGGAGGGGGACUGGCCUAGAGCGGUCACUAGAAAGGCGAGGACCCGCGAAACCGAAUAUACACAUUCCCAGCAGCUCUGUCUUUCCAGGCACGCGGAGUAAGUUGGCUGGAACUCCCCGUGACCGCUCAGCCGGGCGUGCAGGGCUGCAGCGGCGCAAAGCCUGUUCCAGAGCGGCCGCAGCGGCGCGGGCAGGAGGGGUACCCAGGUGGGGCCGCGCGCCCUCCGCGGGGGAUAGGUGAUCCCGCUCCCGAGUCCGAGAGGGAGCCAGGUGAGCGUCCGCCCGGGUCCGCCGGUGACCAGAUCCAACAGCACCGAAGGCAAGUUCUGGCUGCCAAGAAGGGAGCUGCAGGGUUGAAGCAUCCUCUCCCAGCCUCCUCCCACAGGACCAAGUCCUCACCAUCAGUUUUCUCUGUCUUUAAAAAACAACUUUUUUCUUUAUAUAUAUAUAUAUUUCAUUGAAGUAUAAUUGACUUACAAUGUUUCAAGUGCACAGCAAGGUGAUUCAGUUAUAAAUAUACACACAAUAUAAAUAUACAUAUAAAUAUACACAUAUAAAUAUAUACAUAUCAGAGAAGGCAAUGGCACCCCACUCCAGUACUUUUGCCUGGAAUAUCCCAUGGAUGGAGCCUGGUGGGCUGCAGUCCAUGGGGUCGCUAAGAGUUGGAUACAACUGAGUGACUUCACUUUCACUUUUCACUUUCAUGCAUUGGAGAAGGAAAUGGCAACCCAGUCCAGUGUUCUUGCCUGGAGAAUCCCAGGGACGGGGGAGCCUGGUGGGCUGCCGUCUGUGGGGUUGCACAGAGUCGGACACGACUAAAGUGACUUAGAAGCAGCAGCAGCAUACACAUAUAUUAUUUUUCAGAUUAUUUUCCAUAAUAGGUUAUUAUAUGAUAUUGACUGCAGUUCCCUGUAAUAUACAGUAAACUUUUGUUGCUUGUUGCAUAUCUUUUUUUUUUUAAUUAGAAAUCUAACAAGGUAUCAUUUAUAUGCCACAAAAAUAUCUGUUUUAAGUGUACAAUUCAAUGGUAUUUAGUACAUUUAAAGAGUUGUACAUAUCCUGUAAUCUAAUUUUAGAAUAUAUCCAUCAUCCCCCCCAGAAAGAAGCCUCCUGUGCAUUUGUGUUCAGACCCAAUUCUUACCCCCAGGCCCAGGCAACCACUGAUCUGCUUUCUGUCUGAACAGUUUUAUAUGCGGAUGAAACAGGGGAUGUCUUGCAAACAGUAUCUGCUGGGCACUUGGGAUGAAGCAAAACACAGACCAGUUGACUAUUUUUCAUAGUCUCAGAAAAAUAAAAAAAUUCAGUAACUUUAAGGUAUAAUAAUU
rnacentral:lncRNA from 1 species